CUCUCAAUCUCUUCUCUCUCUCUCUCUCCUUGAUGUUCUCAGAUCAGCACCUCUGCUAUGCUAAUAUCCUUCAUCCUUCUCAGGUAAACACACAUGUAUAUGUAACUCUAUAUACUAUGUAUAUGUGAAUAUCAAUCUUUGAAAUUGAAAUUAUUCUGUUGAGAUCUGAGCAAGAAUCGAAGUAGUCGUCCUCAACUUCCUUAAGAUCUUGAACUCUUCGACUCCGGCAAUCUCAUGUCACUUUGGCUUGCAAUUUUACUUCAAAUCUCUAAUCUCGAAAUGUGUGUUAAGCAUUGAGUCACUGUUGAUUUUAAGUAGAUGAAUUUGGGGAUUUUUCAGUGUAUUACAAAUCGAUAGAAGAUGGAGUAAUAGUAGAGCGAGUUGAGGUUUGAUGAAGAUUAGAGAUCGAGAAGUUGGAUACUCAGUGGUUCACUACGAAGAAGUCGUCUCCUGAUUCGAAGCAAAAGUGAGUUUGACACAAUGAUCAGUAAUAGUUCCAAACCAUAGGUGAAAUCAGUAAUUUACAUCUUUUGAUGGUACAGUAGCUCGUGUAGUCUUAGUGUUGGGGGAUUAUUUGAAGGAUGAACCAUGGUUAAAGCUCCUCUGCAACUACCUGAAAUUGGGGUUUUUCUUGAUAGGAGGGUUUUUUUCUACAUUCUUCCAAUUUUCUCAUUUGUUUUACUUUACUCCAAUCUUCCACAUAAGGUACUGCUUAUGAAACUUGAAAUUCAAUUUACUUAAGGUCAACUUUUUGCACAAAUUCUACCAUAGUUGUCAGUGCUGCAGGAGCUCCGCUUUGUUAUUAGUUUUGUUCCAAUGUUUAUCAGCGGCAAUCGCAGCUAGCAGAAUGUACAUCUCUUUUCUUUUAUUUAAUUAAUACCUCAAUUAAUUUAUACGAAUACAGAGUUAUUUUUAUCUUCUUGUAGUUGUUUUAAAUGAUAUACUGAAGAGUAGUUUUAUAUUUGACCAACAGAGGACGAU